rnacentral:rRNA from 1 species
AUUGAACGCUGGCGGCAGGCCUAACACAUGCAAGUCGAGCGGAGCGGCGGACGGGUGAGUAAUGCCUAGGAAUCUGCCUGGUAGUGGGGGAUAACGUCCGGAAACGGGCGCUAAUACCGCAUACUAUCAGAUGAGCCUAGGUCGGAUUAGCUAGUUGGUGGGGUAAAGGCCUACCAAGGCGACGAUCCGUAACUGGUCUGAGAGGAUGAUCAGUCAACCGGGAACUGAGAAACGGUCCAGACUCCUACGGGAGGCAGAGGUGGGGAUCAUUGGACAAUGGGGGAAAGCUGGAUCCAGCCAGGCCGGGUGUUUGAAGAAGGUUUUCGGUUUGUAAAGCACUUUAAGUUGGGAGGCGUUACCAACAGAAUAAGCACCGCCUAACUCCGUGCCAGCAGCCGCGGUAUAC